GAUGAACGCUGGCGGCGUGCCUAAUACAUGCCAGUCGAGCGAACAGAUGAGGAGCUUGCUCCUCUGACGUUAGCGGCGGACGGGUGAGUAACACGUGGAUAACCUACCUAUAAGACUGGGAUAACUUCGGGAAACCGGAGCUAAUACCGGAUAAUAUAUUGAACCGCAUGGUUCAAUAGUGAAAGACGGUUUUGCUGUCACUUAUAGAUGGAUCCGCGCCGCAUUAGCUAGUUGGUAAGGUAACGGCUUACCAAGGCAACGUUGCGUAGCCGACCUGAGAGGGUGAUCGGCCACACUGGAACUGAGACACGGUCCAGACUCCUACGGGAGGCAGCAGUAGGGAAUCUUCCGCAAUGGGCGAAAGCCUGACGGAGCAACGCCGCGUGAGUGAUGAAGGUCUUCGGAUCGUAAAACUCUGUUAUUAGGGAAGAACAAAUGUGUAAGUAACUAUGCACGUCUUGACGGUACCUAAUCAGAAAGCCACGGCUAACUACGUG
rnacentral:rRNA from 1 species